rnacentral:lncRNA from 1 species
AUGAAAUAAAUUUUAAGCAAAGCUAAAAUAGAGAGUAUAUGGAUGAAAUCUUGAUUGAAUUCAUUCAUUUUUUUUUAAAAUGGCAUAAAGCCUAUUUAUACAAGCUUACAACUUGACAACUUAGUUGGAAUACAACUAAGUUUCAUCAUUACAUCCACUUAAAAUAAAUCACCACCUACUACCACUAACAAACUUAGUUGGAAUACAACUAAGUUUCAUCAUUACAUCCACUUAAAAUAAAUCACCACCUACUACCACUAACAAACUUAGUUGGAAUACAACUAAGUUACAUCAUUACAUCCAAAUAA